rnacentral:rRNA from 1 species
UACGUAGACCUCGAGCGUUAUCCGGAUUUACUGGGCGUAAAGCGUACGUAGGCGUUCUGUUAAGUCUUCGGUGAAAUCUCCGGGCCCAACCCGGAAACUGUCGAGGAAACUGGCGGAAUGGAGUGUGACAGAGGCAGACGGAAUUCGAGGUGUAGCGGUAAAAUGCGUAGAUAUCUCGAAGAACACCCGUGGCGAAGGCGGCUCUCUGGGACGGUACUGACGCUGAGACGCGAAAGCGUGGGGAGCGAACAGG